AAUCAUAUAAUCCUUGAGUUAGUUGACUCUUUCGGAAGCAAAUAUGAAUGAGUAACAUUAGAGUCUAUACACACAGAAACUUCUUACAUUCCCCGUCACUUUUUGUCUCUCUUGUGUUGAUCAAGAAUUUCUACAUUAUUGUCAUCUAAGAGACCAGCUCUAAGCUUAAGGCGGCUACCUUUGGGACUUCUGUACAACCAGACCAACAUACAUGUAUAAGGUUAAAAGGUACUCAAGCGUCUAUGUUGGAGUUGUUCUUAUACAUCCAGGAGCUAAUUGCACAUCAUAUAACAGAACCGUAUAUUUUCCACAAAUACAUAUGAAUGUCUAAAAGCUUCGAAGAUUUUUUAUAGUAAAACAGAUUGCUGGAGCAUGUUAUCGAAGAUGGAUUAAAUAUAAUUCACGUGGUUACUAAAUAACUGUGAUUACAAAUUAUAAAUUUGGGACAAGUUAAUCAAGAAUUACAUUUUAUACUUUUAAAUUCAAAUUCAAAUAUUUUUAUUAAUAAUUGAAUGCAGUUGAAAUGCAAAACUACAACUCAUUCGAAAAAGUAUGCCUCAGACCUAAGAAGAACGGAUGGAAGAAACUCAGUGGGUUCUUUUUUACAUAAAAAAACAUU